GGCAAAGACCGUAUAGUACUCUGAGUCUUCGGACAAUGAGAUAGUACACCUAAGGGCUUCAAGAAAACCUCUAAACUUCAGGUUAUUAGUACCCGUACCGUAAACCGACACAGGUAGUCGAGGAGAGAAUCCUAAGGUGCUCGAGAGAUUCAUGGCUAAGGAAUUAGGCAAAAUAGACCUGUAACUUCGGGAGAAAGGUCGCCAACAGCAAUGUUGGCCGCAGUGAAGAGGUCCAGGCGACUGUUUAUCAAAAACACAGGGCUCUGCAAAAUCGUAAGAUGAAGUAUAGGGCCUGACACCUGCCCGGUGCUGGAAGGUUAAGAGGAGAUGUCAUGGGGUAACCCAGAAGCAUUGAAUUGAAGCCCCAGUAAACGGCGGCCGUAACUAUAACGGUCCUAAGGUAGCGAAAUUCCUUGUCGGGUAAGUUCCGACCUGCACGAAUGGCAGUAACGAUCUCCCCGCUGUCUCUGAUGUGGACUCAGCGAAAU
rnacentral:rRNA from 1 species